rnacentral:lncRNA from 1 species
AUGGAGGGGUCAGAGGCUAAAUCAACAGUCAGCACCCUGGCCUACAGUGGAAGGGUGGAGUUGAAUAGAGGCAUCGUGGCCAACAUCCCUGGCUGCUAGGGCUGAUGAGGACAGCAGACCUGUGCCACAUUGAGCCAUCUCUUCUGGACAUGCAACAACUGUCGAACUCUUGCUGCAGCUUGGAGUGCCAAUGAAUGGCAAGUAGGAAGCUGGCUGUUCUCCUCCUGCUGCUGCAUCUGUCGGCCGGUGUAAGAGUCUAACGGUCCUUGGAAAAGUGCGUGCUGUCAAUCAAAACGGCUGCACUCCCUCCUCUGUGCAGCUCGGACAAACAAGCACGAGCUCUCUCCUGUGCUGUUAGAAGGAGCUGAUCCAGACGCAGAAGCCAAACAGCAUUAGGAGGAGCAGCAAGGAAUCCAAAGCACCGGCAGCA